rnacentral:rRNA from 1 species
UCAUUAUUGAUUUAGCGAACCGAGCGUUAGCGAGGUUCUGCGAUCGCUUAUAUUUAAAACCCACUCUUGAAUGUAUAAAAUUUAUGUAUUAAUGAUAAAAUUAAAGAUCACUUUCAACAACGGAUCUCUUGGCUCUCGCAUCGAUGAAGAACGUAGCGAAGUGCGAUAAGUAAUGUGAAUUGCAGAAUUCCGUGAAUCAUCGAAUCUUUGAACGCAAAUUGCACUUUCUGGUAUUCCGGAAAGUAUGCCUGUUUGAGGGUCAGUUAAAUAAAAAUCGGUGUUGUUGCUGCUUUUCGUGGUGACGCGUCGGAAUUGGGUCGUCUUACCUUCGGUUAAGUGACUUAAAAUUUUUUAUGAUUUUUUGAACGUAUUUAAAUUUUUUUGUACGUUUGAGAUAUCGAAUGUUUAUUAGGUUCGGUCAUCAUCAUGACUCGCGCCUAUAAUUUUUCAUUAAAUGACCUCAAAUCAGGUAAGAAUACCCGCUGAACUUAAGCAUAUCAAUAAGCGGGAAAAAGAAAAUAACAAUGAUUCCCUUAGUAACGGCGAGUGAAGGGGGAAAAGCUCAAAUUUUAAAUCUGCUAGGUUUUACUUAUCAGAAUUGUGAUUUGAAGAAGCGUUUUCCGCGUCUCGGUUGGCCCAAAUCCUUUGGGAUAAGGUAUCAUGGAGGGUGAGAAUCCCGUUCGGUUGACCUUAUGACGCUCUACGAUACGCUCUCUAAGAGUCGAGUUGUUUGGGAUUGCAGCUCAAAAUGGGAGGUAAAUUUCUCCUAAGGCUAAAUAUCGGCGAGAGACCGAUAGCGAACAAGUACCGUGAGGGAAAGAUGAAAAGAACUUUGAAAAGAGAGUAAAAUAGUACGUGAAAUUGUUGAAAGGGAAACGAUUGAAGUCAGUCGUACCGACGAGAAAUCAGCUUAUCGUGUGUGAACUUGUGGGCGUGCGUGAGUUUCGGCCUCGCUGUUUGCAUGUUUGUUCGCUUUGGGUGUACUUUUUCGUAUGGUUGGCCAACGUCAGUUUCGAUUACUAUAAAAUGACCGGCGGAAUGUAGCUUCGAUUUCGGUUGAAGUGUUAUAGCCUCUGGUAGAUGUGGUGAUUGGGACUGAGGAUUGCAACGAAUAUCCUUUGGGCUAUCCGUCUGACCUCUGAAAGUUGCUCAGGUGCCGAAAGCUUGCUUACGGUCAUCUAAGUUGACGGUCAACAGGUUAGAACGUGAUUACAUUCGUUAAGGACGUUGGCGUAAUGGCUUUAAACGACC